rnacentral:rRNA from 1 species
AGUGUAGGCGGGAUCGUAAGUUAGGAGUUUAAUACAUGGGCUUAACCCAUGAGCUGCUUUUUAAUACUGCGGUUCUUGAGUAUGGGAGAGGGCGAUGGGAAUUCCAGGUGUAGCGGUGGAAUGCGUAGAUAUCUGGAAGAACACCAGUAGCGAAGGCGGUCGCCUGGCCCCAAUACUGACGCUGAUGCUCGAAAGCUAGGGGAGCAAACAGGAUUAGAUACCCUGGUAGUCCUAGCCGUAAACGAUGGACACUAGUUGCUGGAGGAGUCAAUCCUUUCGGUGACGAAGCUAACGCAUUAAGUGUCCCGCCUGGGGAGUACGUUCGCAAGGAUGAA